GAAUUGAAAGCUUCUAUAGCAUUGGUCUUGUAAAUCAAAGAAAGGUUAUCUACCUCAAUUCU
rnacentral:tRNA from 1 species